CAGCGGAGCGUGUGGUUUAAUUCGACGCUACACGAAGAACCUUACCGGGCUUGACAUGCACGUGACCGCACAGAGAUGGUGCCUUCCUUGAAUUUUAUUCAAGGACACGUGCACAGGUGCUGCAUGGGCUGUCGUCAGCUCGUGUCGUGAGAUGUUGGGUUAAGUCCCGCAACGAGCGUAACCCUCGUCCUUAGUUGCUAACGUUGCCGAAAGGCUGCGUGCACUCUAGGGAGACCGCCGGCGAUAAGCUGGAGGAAGGUGGGGAUGACGUCAAGUCCUCAUGGCCCUUAUGUCCCGGGCUACACACACGCUACAAUGGCCGGUACAGACGGACGCAAAGCCGCGAGGUGGAGCAAAUCCUAAAAAGCCGGUCUCAGUUCGGAUUGCAGGCUGCAAUUCGCCUGCAUGAAGUCGGAAUCGCUAGUAAUCGCAGGUCAGCAUACUGCGGUGAAUACGUUCCCGGGCCUU
rnacentral:rRNA from 1 species